GCCAACUGUUGCCUGAGGAAUGUAGGCCCACUGGCUGUCAGGAGUCCAGCAUUUCAAGAGAACCCAGAAAUCCUACUUUUUAUUCCAGAAACCCCAAAUAUGACAACUAACUAGGAGAAAGAAAAUACAAAAUCCUGUGUGUGGGCUAACAUAAUUUCAAGUCAGAUGCCAGCCUGGACAGCACCAUCCUUUUGGCAGUCCUCCUGUUUCAGACUCCUUGGAGUGCAAGCUUGGGCCACCAUGCCAGGCUUUAGAUUGAGCUUCCUGGCUAUGGAUGUAAUGUGAGCAGCUACCUCAUGUUCCUGAGCCAUUCCUUUCCCACCAAGAUGGGCUGGAUCCCUUCUUAAACUCUGAGCUGAAAUACAGCCUUCCUUUCUUGAGUUGCUUGUCAGAAAGGGACUUUUAAAGAUGGAGAAACUCUGGUACCAUAUUCACAGGCCCAGGUGGUGACUCUACAGGCAGAGAAGGAUCACAGUAAAGGAGAGGAAUAAACCGAAGAAAGGAAUGGAGCCAUUAGGCAGAGGGGGACAAAGUCAUCUGAGCAAACCAACUGCCUUUUGGGUUACACAUGAGCAGAAAGAAAAAAGGACUAAAGAGUCAUGAGGCUCUGCAGAUUGAUUCUGAGAUAUGGCAAGCACAAUGUUACUGCCUAAUCAACUACUCGACUCUGUUCUUCCUUGUUAAUGGACCCCAAAUUUGAUGUGGGGGUAACAGUGUAGAAAGGGAUUGAUUGUGAUUGGCACAGGCCAGUCAUGACUAUUGUUUCCCCCAUUGUGGGACACUGGCUAUCCCAGGAUACCCUGAGGUGAAGAGAGUGAUUUGAAGGGCCACUGUGAAAGAGAUCGAAAACUUUCUCAGAAGAGGCUCUUUGCUGCCUCUCCUGCCCAGUCUGUGACCUCUGUAUUUUCUGCUUUUGAGGUAAAGAUUCAUGAUGUCACUAGGAGUGUAGUGAUAUCAGCAUCGGGGAACUGUAAGCAGGAGGAUCAGGAGUUUAAGGUCAUCCUUGGCUAUACAUAGGCUAAUCUGAGCUGCGCAUGGUCCUGAUCCCCCUAUCAAUCCCCAAAUAAAGAAAAACAAAACAAAAAUAGUGAACAACUUGGGUUGGGUGAUGAAAUUCAGUCUAAGAGCAUUUGCCCAAGAUGUGAGCCUUGAGUUCCAUCCUAGUAUGACAACCCUUUACCCCAACAAAAACAAUAGAGUGUCCAAACUGACAGAAGGAAGUUCUCAACAAAGGCAAUUCAGGUUAUCUGCUAAAAAUGAGUGGGAGGGGAGGAAGAAGUCCAAAGAUGUGUGGGGUGGGCAUGGAAGGUGUGAGAGGAGGAAGGUGGAGAGGGAUGCUGGAAGGUUGCUGGG